UAAAAUUAUAAAUUUGCUUAACUAAAGGUCUAAUUCUAUUUGAUUUUCAGGCAGUUUCCUAUUUGGCUCAAGAAUGUUUGGGGUUAUGGUCCGGGAACUGCAUCUUUAUACCUGUCACAUCCAUGGGAUAUAAGAUUGGUGGCAGAAUGAACAGUUCUUGGUUCAUAUAAUGAGGAUAGGGACUUUGCUGAGCUCUAUGGACAUCACUUCUCAUCCCAAUUUUAGAGUAAAAGAAAUACAUUGAUGCUCCCAACUACCAAAGAAGCAUGACGAUAAUUGAUGAUAUGUGAUGGAUUUGCAAGAAAUGGAGCAUGAGUUCUACACCAAGAAUAGUAUAAAAUGUGUUAUUCUAAAUACAGUUGGUGGCUACUAUACAGCUCUA